AGCAUAUCAAUAAGCGGAGGAAAAGAAACCAACCGGGAUUGCCUCAGUAACGGCGAGUGAAGCGGCAAGAGCUCAAAUUUGAAAUCUGGCCCCUUUGGGGUCCGAGUUGUAAUUUGCAGAGGAUGCUUCGGGUGCGGUCCCCGUCUAAGUGCCCUGGAAAGGGCCGUCAUAGAGGGUGAUAAUCCCGUCUGGGAUGGGCGGCCGCGCCCGUGUGAAGCUCCUUCGACGAGUCGAGUUGUUUGGGAAUGCAGCUCUAAGCGGGUGGUAGAUUCCAUCUAAAGCUAAAUAUUGGCCGGAGACCGAUAGCGCACAAGUAGAGUGAUCGAAAGAUGAAAAGCACUUUGAAAAGAGAGUUAAACAGCACGUGAAAUUGUUGAAAGGGAAGCGUUGUCCACCAGACUCGCCCGGGGGGGCUCAGCCGGCACGUGUGCCGGUGUACUCCUCUCCGGGCGGGCCAGCAUCGGUUUGGGCGGCUGGUGAAAGGCCCCGGGAAUGUAACACCCUCCGGGGUGCCUUAUAGCCCGGGGUGCCAUGCAGCCAGCCUGGACCGAGGCCCGCGCUUCGGCGAGGAUGCUGGCGUAAUGGUGGUCAACGGCCCGUCUUGAAACACGGACCAAGGAGUCUAACAUCUAUGCGAGUGUUCGGGUGUCAAACCCGUCCGCGCAGUGAAAGCGAACGGAGGUGGGAGCCCCUCGGGGCGCACCAUCGACCGAUCCUGAUGUCUUCGGAUGGAUUUGAGUAAGAGCAUAGCUGUUGGGACCCGAAAGAUGGUGAACUAUGCCUGAAUAGGGCGAAGCCAGAGGAAACUCUGGUGGAGGCUCGCAGCGGUUCUGACGUGCAAAUCGAUGCGUCAAAUUUGGGUAUAGGGGCGAAAGACUAAUCGAACCAUCUGGUAGCUGGUUUCCUGCCGAAG
rnacentral:rRNA from 1 species